GGUUGACCUCGGAUCAGGUAGGGAUACCCGCUGAACUUAAGCAUAUCAAUAAGCGGAGGAAAUCGUCGACCUGC
rnacentral:rRNA from 1 species